GUGGAUACCUACCCUCGGGUCUUGCNAUAGCCGCGGGAAACUGCGGGUAAUACGAGAUAAUGUCUCCGGACCAAAGGUGUGAUUCCGUCCGAGGACGGGUCCGCGUCCUAUUAGCUAGUUGGCGGGGUAAUGGCCCACCAAGGCGAUGAUGGGUACGAGGCAUGAGAGUGUGCCCUCGCUCACUGGGACUGAGAUACUGCCCAGACACCUACGGGUGGCUGCAGUCGAGAAUCUUCCGCAAUGGGCGCAAGCCUGACGGAGCGACGCCGCGUGUGGGAUGAAGGCCUUCGGGUUGUAAACCACUGUCGUAGAGGAGGAAUGGCCAUAGGGUUCUCUCUAUGGUUUGACCUAUUCUAGGAGGAAGGAUGGGCUAAGUCCGUGCCAGCAGCCGCGGUAAGACGGACCAUCCAAACGUUAUUCGGAAUUACUGGGCUUAAAGGGUGCGUAGGCGGCGCGGAUAGUUCGGUGUGAAAUCCCUCGGCUUAACCGAGGAAUGGCGCUGAAUACUACCGUGCUC
rnacentral:rRNA from 1 species